AAAGUCGUAACAAGGUCUCCGUAGGUGAACCUGCGGAGGGAUCAUUAACAAAAGGCCCCACGGGCCUCGAACCCUCAAUCACCGUGGAAGCAAGUCGUGCUUCGGCCGCUCCGCCGCCCCUGGAGUCGGACGGCCGCAUCCAUGCAUCGUCGUAUGUGGUGUCUGAAUGGAAAAGAAAACAAUCAAAACUUUCAACGACGGAUCUCUUGGCUCUC
rnacentral:misc_RNA from 1 species